rnacentral:rRNA from 1 species
GGGUAAUGCCUGCCCAGUGACACUGUUAAACGGCCGCGGUAUCCUAACCGUGCAAAGGUAGCAUAAUCACUUGUCUUUUAAAUAAAGACUGGAAUGAAUGGCCAAACGAGGUUCCACCUGUCUCUUACAAAUAAUCAGUGAAAUUGAUCUCCCCGUGCAAAAGCAGGGAUAAAACUAUAAGACGAGAAGACCCUGUGGAACUUCAAAUACAAGUCAACUAUCACAAACACCAACCCACGGGCCCACGCCCACUAGCACCUGACUUAUAUUUUUCGGUUGGGGCGACCUCGGAACAAAACAAAACCUCCGAAAAAAGACUUAUCUAAACCUAGACCAACAACCCAAAGUGCCUCCGGCAAAAUGAUCCAAUAUACUUGAUCAACGAACCAAGCUACCCCAGGGAUAACAGCGCAAUCCCAUCCAAGAGUCCCUAUCGACGAUGGGGUUUACGACCUCGAUGUUGGAUCAGGACAUCCUGAUGGUGCAGCCGCUAUCAAGGGUUCGUUUGUUCAACGAUUAACAGUCCUACGUGA